rnacentral:rRNA from 1 species
CCUACGGGAGGCAGCAGUGAGGAAUAUUGGUCAAUGGACGCAAGUCUGAACCAGCCAUGCCGCGUGCAGGAAGACGGCUCUAUGAGUUGUAAACUGCUUUUGUACGAGGGUAAACUCAGAUACGCGUAUCUUUCUGCACGUAUCGUACGAAUAAGGACCGGCUAACUCCGUGCCAGCAGCCGCGGUAAUACGGAGGAUUCAAGCGUUAUCCGGAUUUAUUGGGUUUAAAGGGUGCGUAGGCGGUCGGAUAAGUUAGAGGUGAAAUCCCGAGGCUCAACUUCGGAAUUGCCUCGGAUACUGUGGGGCUAGAGAGGGGGUGCGGUAGGCGGAAUGUAUGGUGUAGCGGUGAAAUGCUUAGAGAUCAUACAGAACACCGAUUGCGAAGGCAGCUUACCAAGGUACUUCUGACGUUGAGGCACGAAAGCGGGGGGAGCGAACAGGAUUAGAUACCCGAGUAGUC